UGGGGAAUUUUGCACAAUGGGGGAAACCCUGAUGCAGCGACGCCGCGUGAUUUAGAAGGCCUUCGGGUUGCAAAAAUCUUUUUUACGGGAUGAAAAUGACAGUACCGUAAGAAUAAGGUCCGGCUAAAUACGUGCCAGCAGCCGCGGUAAUACGUAUGGACCGAGCGUUGUCCGGAAUCAUUGGGCGUAAAGGGUACGUAGGCGGCCUAAUAAGUUAGAAGUGAAAGAAUAUAGCUCAACUAUAUAAAGCUUUUAAAACUGUUAGGCUUGAGAGAUGAAAGGGAAAGUGGAAUUCCUAGUGUAGCGGUGAAAUGCGCAGAUAUUAGGAAGAAUACCGGUGGCGAAGGCGACUUUCUGGUCAUCAUCUGACGCUGAGGUACGAAAGCGUGGGUAGCAAACAGG
rnacentral:rRNA from 1 species